rnacentral:rRNA from 2 species
UGGGGAAUAUUGGGCAAUGGGCGUAAGCCUGACCCAGCAACGCCGCGUGAGUGAAGAAGGUUUUCGGAUUGUAAAGCUCUAUCCUCGGGGACGAAGGAAGUGACGGUACCCGGGAAGGAAGCCCCGGCUAACUACGUGCCAGCAGCCGCGGUAAUACGUAGGGGGCAAGCGUUGUCCGGAAUGACUGGGCGUAAAGGGCGUGUAGGCGGCCGAUUAAGUCUGGAGUGAAAGUCCUGCUUUCAAGGUGGGAAUUGCUUUGGAGACUGGUUGGCUUGAGUGCGGAAGAGGUAAGUGGAAUUCCCAGUGUAGCGGUGAAAUGCGUAGAGAUUGGGAGGAACACCAGUGGCGAAGGCGACUUACUGGGCCGUAACUGACGCUGAGGCGCGAAAGCGUGGGGAGCGAACAGG